GAAAAAAUUAUGUUCUCAAUUUUGCCCUCUAAUGGAUUGUUCGGAUACGUGAUCAAAACUUCAUAAUUGAAAACCAGAACAACCAGAAACGGGCUACGCUUGAGAUUUCCGAGUUUCGGGGAGCCGCUUCUGAUGAUCAGAUUUAUACUUAUUAGUGAGAUGGAAGAGCAGAAGGUACCGUACGUGCUCGGUGAUUCGCGGAGCAGGGUGGAACGGCUCAGACAUAUGUUGCGGAAUUGAUUCAGUUCAAGGUUGUUGAUGAUGAAAUGCUGAUGGAUACAACUAAAGGCACAAAGACAAAUGGAACUUUGUCUCGUUUAGGAUCUAGAACCAUAUGCAGCAGAUGGAAUGCAUCUGCAAAUAAGUAGCUGUAACGAUUGGGUAUUUUUUAUCCCACACAUUCUUUCUUAGCGUUUUCAGUGUAAGCUUUGAUAUGGUUGUGAUUUUCUGCAAAUAAGUAGCUGUGAUAAUUGGGUCUUUUGCUAGGAGAAAUUAUUGGUGCUUUUUAUGUUUUUAUGAUGAACUUUUAAUUGUUAGGUUCUUAACACAAAGUGUUUUUCCAUUGGUUCAUUUGUGAAAAUAUGACACGGUUGUGACUUAUUAGCAGAAAUGGAUUCUAAUUUGUUCUCUUUCUUUGACAUGCAUAUGCUGUGCUGUCCAUUUGAGAAUAUCAGAGAAAACGAUUUUUGCAUGAAUUUAUUUAUAUGUUAGUUAAAGUUCAUCAAUUUACAGACUAGGUUUGGGGUUUUCAAUAGUAUUACUUGCUAGUUGAGAUGCUUCAUCGACAAAUAUAAAUAAAAUAUUCAGAAGAAAAAUUUUGCUUUUGGGAUUUAUGUUCUCUUUGCAUAAAAUAUUUAUCCUGUCAAACAUAAAAAUUAUCUGGAGUUAUUGUUUUCAGUUAGGCUGCACUUAUGACAGGGAAUUAUUUUUAACUUGAUUCAUGGCUUGAUGGAGAUGAAAGAGAAACCACUGAAGGUGGAUAGGUAGUGUUGUAGGGAAGGAUUAAAUUAUUUAUAGCUUACUUGAUAUUAAGAAGAACCAAGUUACCAUAGUGAUAGAUGAUGUAUUACUUACGGAGGUGGCUUCUAAUGGAGAACUUUUUGUGUGACCUCAGAGCACAACACCCUAUGAAUUUAAUUGGACAACCUCAGCACUUUUAUCAAAUCAUAUGAGAUUCUUCUUAGACAAAACUAAACUAAAAGAACAAGAAAAAAAGAGUGCUCCAGAUCACCUAUAGUCCAGGACUAUACAAAAAUUCUCUGUGAAUUCAGACCAUGUCUCAGACUUACUGCACUCUUGCCACAGUUUAACAUCUGAAUUUGUAAGAUAGUGACUGAACUUUAUAAGUACUUUCCUUGCAUUUCACGCCUGUUAAAGUUAUGCAACCGUUUUUGCGUUCUUACAUAGCUCUUGUUUCAGGAUUGUUCUUUAUUUGUACUUAAUCAAAAGGAUAAAUAUUCAAGCAUGAGGAGGCUUACAUUCAUGUUUCAGAUGGUUACCUUGCAAACAUUCUUAUAAAGGCAGACCUCUUGGUGACAGGUUUGGCAAGUAAUAUUCAUGGACAGGUAUUCUUUAAUCAUUUCUGCUUGCAAUGAGCAUUCAAUUUUGACAAACAAAAUUUCUAAAAGGAAUUAGCAUGAAUUAUUGCUUAAUGGUAGUUGGGGAGGCAAGUAACUUCUAAAAUUCAAUGGUAUUUACAAAUUAAUCUACUUGCUUUCUCUGGCAUUCGCCCUGUAACAGUUUUGUCAUUUGUGCUAAGGUCAAAAUAAGUAAAAAACUCUUAUGUUAUUUUAAAAUAUUUAAACAAGUCCUUUCACCUUUCCGUUCAUAUAUACUUUGAACUUUUGAAUUAUAUUUGAAUAUGCCUCUCAGUUGGCCGAACGUUAACACUUCAAACACCUUCUUAUUUAGUAGUAUAUGGCAUCUAAUGUGGUCAUUCUAAAUAGCCAUUUUUUGGGCUGAGAUGACCAUUUAUUUGGCAUAUUCUGUACAUGUGACAUUGACAUGACAUACACAUAAUUAUAUAUUUACAUAUUUAAUAGAUAACGUUUUAAAUAUUAGAGUAAAUAUCAAAUUCAGUCUUUCAACUUUAGCUUAUCUUACAAUUUAGUUUUAAUUUUUUAUUACAAUUUAGUCUCCGAACUUUUAGUUUUUGUUCGAAAAACAAACACUGUUUAGUCUUUAAAUAAAAAAAAAAAAUUAACUUGUUACUGCCUGAUUGAGAUGCCUUAGUUGAAUGUUCUUCUCUUCCUUUUGCCUGAAAAACUAGGUCACAUCUUUGUUCCCUCCAUCUUAUCAGAUCUGUAAUCCCUAUCUCCAUUUCCUUUUGACAUACUGGAAUCACCAAUGAUAAGCCUAAUUUCCACAGAUAUUUACCUGAUUGGGUGAAUGCACUCUGCUCCUCUGCACUGCAGCAAUUAUGAGCUGGUUGAAGAAGAUGAUUUACGAUGAAAGAGGAUGAUUUAAGGAUUAUUAGGGUUUUUUUAAAAUUAUUUUUAUGAUCCAUAAAUUUUUUAAAUUUCAAACAAGCCAUAAACUAAUUUCAUAUUUUCCAUUCCAUUUUAAAUAAUUUAAGUUGGAAACAAGACAAGAAGUUUGGGGAUUAAAUUGUGACAGAAAAAAUAUUUAGAACUAAAUUUGAGAACUAACUUGGAUAUUUUUCCUAAAUGUUAUAUAAAUUCUAACAUGCACCUCUGUCCAUUUGAUUCAUAAAGCUUUUGUUAUCACCCACUAACCCAUCGUGUUUUCAAGAAGCCACCAUCCUUCCUCUUCCAUCCACAGUGAAAGCUCAGUUCUUGACAGCCUCAAGGAGCUUGAUAAAUACUGAGAGACUAGAACCCAAAGUCUCUAAUUAUAUCAGAAGGAGAGCAAGUGCAUUUCUUUCUUCAAAAAAUAUGUUUGUUUCUUUCUUUCCCUGCAAAAUAACAAGGAAUGAGAUUGAGAAGUUUCUUCCUUUGUUUACAAACUGCUACCCAAAGCCAAUCAACUCGAUAGGUAUAUCUUUAGAAUUGUUUUUUGGUAAGAUAAUUUGAUUUGUUGUGAGAAGUUAGUUUUUACAUUCCUGAAUAUAUAUUUAAUUUUUUUUCAUCUUAAUAAGAAAAAAAAAAUUUAUAAAUGCUUAAUGAUACUAAAACGUGGUAUUAAAUUACAAUAUUUACGGAUGUACAACUCUUGGUUGAUUGAAUACUGAUUCGAAUAAUAUGUCCCUACUUGAAGGAGCAUCAAGCAAGGACUCGUACCCUCGCCCUCCAGCUUGGCGAGCGGGGAAGUAACCGUCAUGACUAAGUGAACUUGGUUGUAUAGAGAUUUAUCUUUUUUAAUAAUAAAUGAAAUGAUUUAUAUUAUAUUCUUUGUUAAUUUAGAAUAGAUAAGGGAAAAAUAUUAAAUAAAGGAUUUUUUUUUCUUAUACUAGAUGACACUGGAGUUCUCUGUUUUUGUUUUCAUAUCGCAGCUGUUUCUUUACUGAGUACAUAAAAAUCAUUAAUGCAAUGGGAAAAAAUAGAAAGAAAGAAAUAAAGAUAUUUUCUGUUUUCUUUGGGUCAGGUGUAUGUGAAAAUAAGUAAUUAGAUAUUGUCAGUUAUAAUCUUUAUUAAUAAAAUAGUAUAUCAGGUAAUUAGAAAUAAGAUAGAUUUUUUUUUUUGGGUUAAAAUGUUUAACUCUCCUUUUUUUUUUUUAUUCUCAUUUUUCUUUAACGUGUGAAGAAUGGAAACGGUAAGCUUUUAAGAGACUUCUCUAUGACCUGCAUGUAUAUAUAUUAUGAGGUGCCAGAUGUGCCUACGUACUAAUGUGAUUGAUGUGAUAUAUCUUAUAUUAAUGAGAUUUGAUCUAAUGCUGAGCUAGGAUUAUGAGUAUGUAAAAGUGAUGCAUUUGAGGGGCUGAGCUAGGACUGUAUGUGUGUAAAUAUGGUGGAUCUGAUGAGAGGCUGAGUGCAAUCAUAUGUUGAUGUGAUCAAAGUGAUGGACUGAUUUCUUACUGAGCUUGAAGCUUUUUUUUU